UGUGUGUUACUGGCCUCGGUUAUAUUCAGAGAAAUAACUUCCACUGCCAAGAAAGUCAAUGGCAGAUUAGCUUUGCAGUAUUAUUAUCACUAGUCGGGAUCCCACGCAUCGCGCGGGUUAGUUUCAUGGCUUGGGUGCUUGCAAUGAUUAGCAGGGGACUACAUGAUGCUGUUUAUGAUGUAGGAACCAAACAGGAAGUGAAAUUUUUUUAGAUGAUUUUGGAUUUCACGACAUGGUAAUUGAUGUUCUGGUGCAUUCGGUACAACUAUGCGAUUUGGACCCAAGAGUGAUAUGAUUUAGAUGACUUCAGUUUCUACUACAUAUUCGAGGUAGGUCAAUGAAUGAUAUAUGAGUUCCAAUAGACACCUAUUUAAAUGCCAUUGAAUAACAACACUUUUAGUAGAGUCAUUACAUGUCAUUACACUUUAAAGUUUCAUUGAUAGAAUAUUUUAAAGGAAUGUUUAAUGGAUUCUGCAUAGGAACCUAU